UCUGUGUUACAAGAAGAAUUAAAAUCCAUUCACGCAUUCUCUCAAAAAACAUACACACCAGAACAGUGGGAAGAAGAAAAGAAGAAGUAAAAUGGUAGAAAACAAUUUCCAGCAAUCAUCUGAAAAACUACACUCUGAAUUGCUUAUAAAAGUAUCAGCACCUGGUAAAGUUAUUCUACAUGGAGAGCAUUCUGUUGUGUUUGGAAAACUUGCCAUUGCUGCAAGUCUUGGAUUACGCACAAAACUUUCUCUUUCUGAACUAAAAAGUGAUAUUGAACUUAACAUGCUGACUAUUCAGCUAAAAGAUCUUAAUUUGAUUCAAUCAUAUGACGUAAAGAUUAUUCAACAAGAUCUUUUAGCAAAAUGUCGGUCUAUAAUAAAAAAUAAUCCGAAUUAUAGCUUGGAAAAUCCACAAUUAAUUAAUCAUGAAGAAAUUUUACAAAUCACAGAAGAUUUUGUUACCAGAUAUUCCAAGCCACUCAAUCCCUAUCAAAAUAUUGCUCUUGUAUCUUUAUUUUAUCUAUUUGCUGGUACUUUGGGAUCAGUUGAUAUCAAACUUCGACCAAUAAAUAUUAAUUUGGAGACAGAUCUCACUAUAAAUGCUGGAACUGGCAGUUCAGCUUCCUACUUAGUUACUCUUUCUGCGGCCUUCAUUCAGUAUAUAAGAUUUAAAGCAAAUUUUGGAAAAAAUCAGAUUAAAAAUGGGCAAACUAAACAUAGAAAUUCUGAAGUUACAAAUUCAAUUAAAUUUGACACUGAUGAUCUUCAACUGAUAUCUAAAUGGGCUUAUAAUGCUGAAAAAAUUAUUCAUGGUCCUGCAUCAGGCAUUGAUAAUACAAUUUGUACUUUUGGAUCAAUGGUUGAAUUUCGGAAAGGAUCACAACCAAGAGUAAUUGAAUUACCUACAAAGUUUCGUAUGCUACUGAUUAACAGUAUGGUAACAAGAAACACGAAAAGCAUGAUAGCCGUAGCACAGGAAACGAAAAAAGAAUUUCCAACUGUUUUUGAUUCGAUUUUAGAUGCAAUGAAUGCUGUAGCUGAAAGUGCCUUAGAAACAAUCAUUCGCCUUAGUCAACUUAAAACCGUUGUGGAACAUGAAAAUUGCGAUUCAGAAAUGGUCUCGCUUUUUAAGCGUCUAGAGGUUUUACUAUCAGCUAUUUGGGUUAUAUCCUUUUUGUCUACAAGACAAAAACGCUUUUUUUUACCAUUUACCUUCCCUAAUAUCUUUUAAAUAAGUUAAACCGAUCGGCUUUACCACAUUUCACUCAUCUUAUCUACUACCUGCCUACUCCUGGAAAAUUAACAGACAUGAACCAGAACCUUCUUGCUGCUAUAGGAGUUUCACACCCGAAAUUGGAUAGAAUUUGUUCAAUUUUAAAAGAGAAU
rnacentral:misc_RNA from 1 species